rnacentral:lncRNA from 1 species
UGUACAUCAGUUCGACACUAAUUUAGUGUUUCGGCGGUUUUUGUGUUAUAUGCUAAUGAUAUAUGUAUAACAUUUAUGAAAGGGUUUAAGCAUUGUAUGCCCGCCAUCAUCAGGGAUUUACCUAUAUCAAUUUAUUUUAAUUUUGUCGUUGUCAAUAAAUCAGAAUAUUUUUUUCUUUUUUUAUGCUUUUUAUAAGCUAUUAUUAGUUUGCUUGAAAAUAUUUCGUUGCAAACUGCAUCCUGUUUUAGUAGAUCCCGAGGUUUACUAAUGCAUUGUUUUAAUUUAUGAAUGCAUGGAUUAAAUUUCGUUGCCAAUACUGAAGGAAUUUCCUUUGUGUUUUCUUUGGC